GCAUCCAUGGUUAAAUGGUUAAAGCGUUCGGCUCAUAAUUGGCGAAUUCGUAAGUUCAAUUCCUACUGGAUGCA
rnacentral:tRNA from 1 species